ACCUGGCUGGCUCAAUAGAGCAUGUGACUCUUAAUCUUGGGAUUGUGGGUUCAAACCCCACGUUGGGUG
rnacentral:tRNA from 1 species